rnacentral:rRNA from 1 species
AUUGAAAGCUGGCGGCAGGCCUAACACAUGCAAGUCGAACGAGUGGCGGACGGUUGAGUAAUGUCUGGGAAACUGCCUGAUGGAGGGGGAUAACUACUGGAAACGGUAGCUAAUACCGCAUACCAUCGGAUGUGCCCAGAUGGGAUUAGCUAGUAGGUGGGGUAGAGGCUCCACGAGGCGACGAUCCCUAGCUGGUCUGAGAGGAUGACCAGCCACACUGGAACGUAGACACGGUCCAGACUCCGACGGGAGGCAGCAGUGGGGAAUAUUGCACAAUGGGCGCAAGCCUGAUGCAGCCAUGCCGCGUGUAUGAAGAAGGCCUUCGGGUUGUAAAGUACUUUCAGCGGGGAGGCGUUACCAACAGAAUAAGCACCGGCUAACUUCGUGCCAGCAGCCGCGGUAAUAC